CAAGGAGUAGUUUAAUAGAAUCCUAGCUUUGGGAGUUAGGGGUGGGAGUUAAAUUCUCUUCUCUUUGA
rnacentral:tRNA from 1 species